GAUCUACCACUAGAUCACGAUCUACCACCUACCUGUUGGACAUGCCUGGAUUAUAAAUAGUUUUUAUCUUGCAGCACAGGACUUUGGCUUGAAGCCACUGCUGAGAUGUUCUAUAGCAAGGAUGUACAACUGGUUGACGACGAUCAGCUGGUCGAUCUACGGGUUGUUUGGGUUGACCGCAGUCGAUCGUGGGCUCUUUUUCCUUUGUGGGGACAAAAUAGGAUUUGGCCCCGCCCCCUCACCCCCUCCUCCAUUCAUGCAGGAUCGCUAGAAUGGAAGACGGAGCUUUUUCUAUGAGGCUGUUUGUUUCCUGAUCGAUCUAUUGGUGAGCGGUUUUUUCCUUAUCCCCCAAAAGAAACCCCCAGAAAAGGUCAACAUACCUUCCUAAAAAUCGCUCAACAACUUUGACCUGAACGCCUACAAAAUGGAGUAGAUCACUGCCAGUUUUUUAUUCUGUGAGUAGAUUGCAAUCUCUUGGGAGUCGGAUGUCCCUGUUCUAUAGGGUUUUAUUUUGGGGGGGGGGGGUUUCCUUUAAGAUGAGCUCCAUUUUUUUUAUACAUGAAAUUUAUAAACUGCUUGAUUGUAAAAAACACACACAAAAAACCUCAAUGCAGUUUGCAAAAAUAAGACAAUUAGAUUAACAGUUAUCAACAACAACAGGUAAAAGCAACAAUCCGAAACCUCCAAAAAUGGUUAAAAUUGGUGAUAAGCUAAACAUCACAGUAAAGCACAUGCCAACAUUCUUCAUGUCUGGAUAACGUUGCCUAAACAAAAUUGUUUCAAGCAGGUACCACAAAGGGUAAAAGGAAGAUGCCUGUCUGAUGUCAAUAGGCAGGGAAUAUGGGUGCUUCCACACUAAAAGAUUGAUUUCUUACAAAUGUGGAAUGACUAUUAUGUUUCACCUGUAACAGUACCAGUUCUACAGAUAACAGCAGUUGCAGGGGCAUAUAUGGGGCUGAGGUGAUCUCGCUUUCCCUUUUUAAGAGUAUAGGGUCACUGGUUGCCCUAUCCUGAGUGAUAGCCUUAUAAUAAAACUCUUCAUUAAGUGACGUUGUCAUAUUCCUGGGCAUAGCAAAGGCAACCUUCCUCCCCCUCCAAUCUUGGUGUGGUAAUUAUUUAAUGGCAUUGGAUCCAGAAGGCAAUUAUUGGCAGUCAUUUGUAAAAGCAACCACUUGGCAAACAUUCUGGACAGAAUAGCAGUAUGUCGGGAGACAUAAGGAAGAGAGUAAGAGACCCACCCCUUUCUUUCAAUAAAAUAUCUGCCAUUCCAAUUAAUGGGUGCCCACACUGUGCUGAGAAAGCUGUGGUAGUAAUUAAAACUGUCUCCAGCAGCCACUGCCAAAACAAAUCACACUGCUGUCCAGCGCAGCAAAAAGAAACCAGCAACAACCCUCCUCCUUACUGACAAGAUACUCAUUCUCUCUUAAUGCCUGGUAGAAGGAAAUUACUGCUGAACCAGGUGGCCUCAUCAAAAAACACCCAUCUCCUUAUUGUCGGACAGGAGCUCCAGCUGGUUAUCAACAACACUGCUCUUGGCCUGCUUCUUUGCAGCAAAAAUCUGGGGUUUCACAACAUUGAUGUUUGGCUGUAGAUCAAAUCUUGUUUCCAUGGCUAUUAGUACUUUCACUGCUCACAGCACUAUAAAUGUACUAUAGGCAGACUCAUUGAUGGCUUUGGCCAGUACAGUUUCAUUGUUACUUUGCAAAUUUAAUAAACCCUUUAACUUUUAUUACAUGGUAGCUGGUGGAAUAUAUACACUGCAGUCUUUUUAAUGCCUAACAGGGAAUAGGUUCUAUUGAACACUGUGAAACGUAAUACUAAGUAAACAUGCAUAGAAUUGAGGUGCAUAUCUUCAGCCAGCAUCUGAAGCAGUGAGCGCUGUCUCUGGUUCAAAUUGCAUUGCAGGCAUGAAUUUAAAGUGCAAUACUAUAGUGCAAUACUAUAACACCAUAGUAACUUUAGUAAGUAAUGCAAUACUGAAAGUAAAUUCCACUUCAGUUAUUUGCAUGAGAGUGCAGCCCAAAGUUACCUUAGGGCAAACCACUCUUAUUUGUGUUUACCUGGAACUAAGAUCCACUGUGUUCAUUGGGGAUUAUUUCCAGAUGAAUGUGCACAGAAUUGUGGCCUACAUAGCUAUCUGUAGUAGGGGACUAAUAACGCUGGUCUACCCUGGAUUGUUAUUGUAAGAAUUACUGAGAUAACGCAGGUGAUGUGAAGUUGUCUGUCAGUAGUUCUCACCUGGGCUGCAGAAUGAGCAGGACCGUGAGUCUCUGGGUCACAGUUGUCUUCACUAGAGUGAGAUGCAUUUCUAUUUACAUUACACUAAUUAUUUCUAAAUCUGCAUUGUUACAAAUAAAUUAACAUGGGCAAUCUCUUCCCCACCCCACCCCACCCCACCCGCCUUUAUUGAUGAUGCAUAAGUGGACAUCCUCAGGGGAAAGAAUACUGGAUUUGAGCCAGGAAAACAUGUUAAAAUGCUGCUCAGCUACAAAAGUGCAUUAAUUGUCCUGGGCCAGUCAAUAUCUGUCAGCCUAAUCCACCUUGGAGGUGCAUUGUGAGGAUUUAUUUAUUUAUUUAAAGAAUUUUUAUCCUGUUCUUCAGCAAAACAAAAAUAAAGUGUCAGUGUGAUUUAUAAAUAUCAGUAAUAAGACAUUCCCUACCCCAGACAUGACACAAAAAAGAAAAGCGAAUGGGAGGGUAGAGGGGGGAAAGCAAAAUGGAAUCAGAAUUUACUGCCCUGAAUGCAUUGGAGUGUAUUGGAGAAAGAGGGAGUUUAAACACAACCCAUAAGUAAAUUUCAGAGGCAAUGAAUCUGUGAUGCUUCUCUUCCCUUUAACCCUACAACUUUGGAUGUUUGGUCCUCACAUUUUAGAAACAUUUUUAAUUAAAAAAAGAAUGGUGUUCACAGGGAGGAUUGUUCAAUGUCACUGGACAGCAAAAUGAUUUCCAAAGUGCAGCGAUAGUUCUGCCACAAAAUUGGCAUUUUUCUUUAUUUAAAAAAAAAAUCUCUGACGAAGGAAAGCAAAUUUAUUAGUAUAAAUUCCAAAUUAAAUCCCUGCGGAAGGGACAAAGCUUCUAAAAAGAACGUUUCUCUAGUUAAUAUGCACGAUCAUGAUGUAUUUUAUGCUUCAAAGAGUUGAGAAUUAAUACUGGCAGUAAGGCCUAGAUCUAUAUGGGGGUGAGUGAUAGAUUAAGCACAAGGGAUUCUAAAGUAGAUUAGAACUGCAGAUGUCUGUAUUAUUAUACAUCAAAGUUCUGAAUGAAGUUGCCGUAUGUCUCCUAUAAAAGCAGAGCUGAUUAUAUUAUAUAGUUUAUUCUCUGUUGGUCGGACACCUGUCCAUUUUAAGUAAUUCACUUUGGCGUUUCAUAUUACCCAUUGUGCUCUUCCUCAGGUAAUAAAUGCAGGGGCAGACUUAAGGUUAUGUGUUUAAUAGGCCACCUGAGCUAGUUUUUUGUUUUUCUAAAUGCACAAUAGGUACAAUAUAAAUAGACCAAUAUUUAGGACCCCCUUCUCUUGGACUAAGAGCAUGCAGUAUUUAUAACUGCAUUAAGCAACAGGCAGAAUGGAGUGGAUUUAGCUAUAAACAUGUAUGAGGAGAAGGGACUGUCUCAUUUGUCCUUGGACUCUUCAAAGAAGCUCAAUAAGUGUCUUUUCAUAGGAAUGUAAGGAACUGCCAUUGUCAGUCAAGCCAUCUAGUUCAAUACAGUCUACACUGACUGACAGAGAUUCCUCAGAGUUUCAAACUGGUGAUCAUUCCUAGGCCUAUCUGGAGAUGCUUGGGAUUGAACCUGGUACCUUGUUUAUGGAAAGCAGAUGUUCUACCUUGUCAGGAAACUACAGAUCAGUCCAAAAUUUUCACGUCAGUCUGUCCUCCUGCAGGCAGGUAUAUGCUGUUUUAUAGGCCUUUGGAAAGGUUAUAGGCCUUUGGAAACAAUUUUUUUUUUUUUUAAGGAAAGGGUUUUUAACUGUGCUGUGCUGUUUUAUCAUCCUCAUUUUAACAUAUUUGUUUUCAUAUUGUUUUAACUCUAUUACAGUUUAUUUGUUUUUAAUGAUUAUCUCUUAUAUGUGUUUUGUAUUUCAUCUGUCUUGUUUUGAUUUGUGUAAGUCGGUCUGGGAAAAAUGGUGAGAUAUAAAUAAUAAUAAAUACUUUUGAAGCCUUGUAAAGAAACCCAUAAAGAUUCAGUACUGGUUUUGUGCAUAGGUUUGUGUGUGGGUGUAAUUCUAGACUUUGCUUUGGGCACCUAAAUGACAGUACAACAGGUCUAAACAGGGAUGGGCAGUUGGGUGCAUGAUCCAAAAACAUAAAAUGCAACAACCUAAUCGAAGUAAAGGAGAUUUGGCUGUGGUUCAGUGCCUGGGUGGGAAAUCACUUGGUAAUUUUCAGGUUCCCUUGAGUUUCAUUAUAGAGGAAAGGCGGGGUAUAAAUGUGCCAAAUAUAUACAGCUUCAAGGUGGUCAGCUCUUGACAGUGCUGAUUAUCUCUGGAGGACUGAUGCCACAUCCUCCCUCCCAAGGGAUUGUCAGUGUCAAAACUAACAGCCUCCAUAAUCUGUAUAGGAAGAAAGGUUAUUGCACUUAUCAGCACGUGUGCAGCUUGUAGGAGGAACUGGGAACCUGUGGCCUGCAGCCAGUCUGUUUACAAAACAUAAUGUGGCCUGUGGCGAUACACCAAUGAUAUAUUUUAUUGUAAUUUAUACAUUACAAUAUUCUGAAGGGACUUAAAAGAUGGGAAAACAAGACAUGCCUUUUGGAUAACGCAAAAUAGUGACCGUUGUGACAAAUGCUUUAAUGUUCACUGCUCAUGUUGUGACCUUUAAAACUGCUCCAAACUACAAAAGUGCUUCUAAGCUAAGAACACAAAAAGAGAGAGAACAUGGUGUGUGUGUGUGUGUGUGUGUGUGUGUGUGUGGCAGAGCCAGUUGCUAUUGGAAUAAAGUAAUAGAUGUAAGAAGGAAUUCUGCCUGACUAGACUUAACGGAAACGAAUACCGACCUAUUAGGGAGAAAGCAGGGAAUGUACCUCAGUGCCUCACACGAUUCCUGUUCUGUCACACCCAUUUUUACAGCCUUGAUAAGGGCAGGCCAGAUAGCUGUGUGAGAUCUUGAUUGCCUUUGGGAAUGGUGCCUUAUGAAUCAUUCCUACCUUGGAGUUCUUGCCGCUGCUUAAACCUCCCCUGGCCAUGGUGAAAAAUGUCAGCUAGAGCUCCUUUUCUCCCAAUACUGAGCAAGCACGGAGAUGCUGGGAGAGGAGCUUAUUAAUUUUUGGGGAGUAAGGGACCAUGUUCCUGUCAUAAUGAAGCUUUCAGCUUUGCUUGAGAAGACAGAUUCAUUCCCUUUGCUGGCUGUCUGACAAGAACUUUGUUGGGCCGGGAGCCAAGUGCUACACAGAGGGAUGAAGCCCUUCUAACACCUUGGAUAGCUCUAAAUUAAGGAAUGUGCAUCACACUCGUAGUAGCCUCCUUUCUCCCCUAUCUGCACUCAAGCCCUUGGAACUUGAAAACUGAAUUGCUCAUGUUACGCUGGGCUUUUUUCCCCAGCUGGAAACUCAGUUCUGGUACCUCUCAAGUGAACACCAUUGCCAUUCUAAGAGAAUGAGGGGGGUGUUCAUGGUGAGUUUGGCACCUCUUUUUCUAGAAAAAUAGCACUGAUUUUAAGCACAUUUUGGGGUGGAAGGAACCUUCCGCAGUUUAUUCUCAUUAGC